UACGGAGGAUGCGAGCGUUAUCCGGAUUUAUUGGGUUUAAAGGGUGCGCAGGCGGCACGGCAAGCCGGCGGUCAAAUCGCGGGGCUCAACCCCGCCCAGCCGUCGGAACUGCCGGGCUAGAGUGGGCGAGAAGUGCGCGGAAUGCGUGGUGUAGCGGUGAAAUGCAUAGAUAUCACGCAGAACUCCGAUUGCGAAGGCAGCGCACCGGCGCCCUACUGACGCUCAGGCACGAAAGUGUGGGGAGCAAACAGG
rnacentral:rRNA from 1 species